rnacentral:lncRNA from 1 species
UAAUCUUCUUAUCUAAAAGUACUAUUUGGUAUUAGAGGUUGUAGAUUUUUCUUUUCUAAUUAUAUUUUUGUGCUUAAUUUUGUUAUCUAUUCCAAAUCCACAUCAACCUAGAUUAUUAAAAAAUAAACUUUCAGAUUUUUUUCUUAGAAAAAGUGAAAAACAUUUUACAAACUUUCAUAGAAAAAGAUUUAUAAAUAUUGAAUGAGUUGAAUUUAAUUUUAGAAGCAUUCAUGGCUACAUUUGAACAAAGCAACCAAAAGAGAAUAGCAAAAAACAAAUCUUAGUUUCUAUGAUAAGUAUCAUAUUGAAUUUCUAUCUAUAUUGAAAAAUUCCAAACAACUUAUUUGUGACUUGAAUUAAAACAAUAAGGUUCUUAUUAAUUAAUUUUGAUAUGAA